AUGUUGAGAUUAGCCAUGCAUGUCUCAGUAUAAGCUUCUAUACGGCGAAACUGCGAAUGGCUCAUUAAAACAGUUAUAGUUUAUUUGGUGGUCAGCAAUUACAUGGAUAACCGUGGUAAUUCUAGAGCUAAUACAUGCGCCCAAACCCGACUUCGUGGAAGGGUUGUGUUUAUUAGAUACAGAACCAACCCAGGCUCCGCCUGGCCUUGAGGUGAUUCAUAAUAACCGAACGAAUCGCAUGGCUAUGCCGGCGAUAGACCAUUCAAGUUUCUGACCUAUCAGCUAUCGUCGGUAGGGUAUUGGCCUACCGUGGCAAUGACGGGUAACGGAGAAUUAGGGUCCGAUUCCGGAGAGGGAGCCUGAGAAACGGCUACCACAUCUAAGGAAGGCAGCAGGCGCGCAAAUUACCCAAUCCUGACGCAGGGAGGUAGUGACAAGAAAUAACAAUACAGGGCAUACAUGUCUUGUAAUUGGAAUGAGUAAACUUUAAAUCACUUUAC
rnacentral:rRNA from 1 species